GGGAAGGAGCUCGGUAAAGUGUGGAAAAUAGCUGUCUAACAUGGCACCUGGACAAGGACGGUGCUCAUUCACUUACUGGCUUACUUAGAGUCCGCGGUCCUACAGGCCACAUCCCCGACCCAAGUCCAGGCCGAAGCCCAGAGCCGACUGCAGUCCUGGUCCCCCCGUCCUGGUCGAGUUCCAGACUUUGGAGCUGGCCUUACGCUCUAACGAGCACAAUCGCCCGGCUAGACAUCAAUGGCCAAUGGUCGUCUGUCUGAUCACGGGCACCGAUCCAGUCCGUUGCUGGGGAAAAACGCUGCGAGCUGCCAAUAAAAAUCCUUUACCAUAUA
ensembl:ncRNA lncRNA:CR44277 long non-coding RNA:CR44277